UGAGGAAUAUUGGACAAUGGGCGCAAGCCUGAUCCAGCAAUGCCGCGUGCAGGAUGAAGGCCUUCGGGUUGUAAACCGCUUUUGUACGGAGCGAAAAGGUCUGCCCUAAUACGGUGGACUCAUGACGGUACCGUAAGAAUAAGCACCGGCUAACUACGUGCCAGCAGCCGCGGUAAUACGUAGGGUGCGAGCGUUAAUCGGAAUUACUGGGCGUAAAGCGUGCGCAGGCGGUUAUAUAAGACAGAUGUGAAAUCCCCGGGCUCAACCUGGGACCUGCAUUUGUGACUGUAGAGCUAGAGUACGGUAGAGGGGGAUGGAAUUCCGGGUGUAGCAGUGAAAUGCGUAGAUAUGCGGAGGAACACCGAUGGCGAAGGCAAUCCCCUGGACCUGUACUGACGCUCAUGAACGAAAGCGUGGGGAGCAAACA
rnacentral:rRNA from 1 species